rnacentral:piRNA from 1 species
GUAAAUAUCCCAAAGCUGAGGAAUCCAAA